rnacentral:rRNA from 1 species
CUUAGUGAGGCUUGUACUUAGACAUGCAUGGCUUAAUCUUUGAGACAAGCAUAUGACUACUGGCAGGAUCAACCAGGUGAAACCGCGAAUGGCUCAUUAAAUCACACCUAAUGUACUGGACAGUCUCAGUUACUUGGAUAACUGCGGUAAUUCUGGAGCUAAUACAUGCGUACUAGCCGCGACUCACGGAGCGGUGCUUUUAUUAGAUCAAAACCAAACGGCCUCGAGCCGUCCCCCUGGUGAUUCUGAAUAACUUUGGGCUGAUCGCACGGACUCGUUCCGGCGACGUGUCCUUCCAAGGUGUGCCCUAUCAACUGUCGACUGUGGCAUAGACGCCCACAGUGGUUUUGACGGGUAACGGGGAAUUAGGGUUCGAUUCCGGAGAGGGAGCCUGAGAAACGGCUACCACUUCUACGGAAGGCAGCAGGCACGCAAAUUACCCACUGGCCGAAGGCCGAGGUAGUGACGAAAAAUAACGAUACCGGACUCAUCCGAGGCCCGGUAAUCGGAAUGAGUACACUUUAAAUCCUUUAACGAGGAACAAUUGGAGGGCAAGUCUGGUGCCAGCAGCCGCGGUAAUUCCAGCUCCAAUAGCGUAUAUUAAAGUUGUUGCGGUUAAAAAGCUCGUAGUUGGAUCUCGGCGGGCAGGGGGUGGUUCGCUCUUCAGCGCUACUGCCCCGCUUUGCCCGUGUGAUUGGCGGAGGUUUCGGGGUGCUCUUCGUUGAGUGACUCGGAGCGCCGUCAGGUUUACUUUGAAAAAAUUAGAGUGCUCAAAGCAGGCUUUUCACGCUUGAAUAUUCGUGCAUGGAAUAAUGGAAUAGGAACUCGUUUCUAUUUUGUUGGUUUUCGGAAAUCGAGUUAAUGAUUAACAGGGACAAUUGGGGGCAUUAGUAUUCAGACGACAGAGGUGAAAUUCUUGGACCGUCUGAAGACUGACUACUGCGAAAGCAUUUGCCAAGAGUGUUUUCAUUAAUCAAGAACGAAAGUUAGAGGUUCGAAGGCGAUCAGAUACCGCCCUAGUUCUAACCAUAAACGAUGCCAGCUAGCGAUCUGCCGAGUUUUUUUUGUAGGCUCCGCAGGAAGCUUUCGGGAAACCAAAGCUUUUGGGUUCCGGGGGAAGUAUGGUUGCAAAGCUGAAACUUAAAGGAAUUGACGGAAGGGCACCACCAGGAGUGGAGCCUGCGGCUUAAUUUGAC